AACCCAUGCAUCGGACACUUCCGCAACAUAUCCUUUAAUCUUUCCCAUGCUUCAUACAAACUUUCAUAUUCCAAUUGCUUGAAUGAAGUAAGAUCAUUUUGAUGCU